rnacentral:tRNA from 1 species
CUUGAAUAGUUUAUUUAGAAUAAUAAUUUGUGGUGUUGUAGGUGUAAUAAUUUACUUCAAGUC